GAAGGCCAGUCACUCCAUUUAUGUCGGAACGCAAACGUCACGUCACCCCGCGACAGUGGCGCCAUCUAUGUUCUUCCUGUCGAAAUUCGUCGAGAACGUUUCUCCAGUGUCAAUAGAAACGCGCGAAGAAGCAUUGUCCUGUGUCACACAGUCACUCGAGAUAUACGUUUAUAUACGUAUAAGUUUUUCACAGAACGGGCAGUCAUUGGAAAAACAGAUGUCCUCUUUUUUUUAUUUAUUUAUUUUUUUUUCAAAAAUUUAUAUCGAUCUCUGGCGCUAUUGGAAUUGCCCGGGCCAAUACUUGAAAUCGUAUAACCGUAAUAUUACGGACCGCAUACAUAGUGCUGCUUAGGACGACCACCUUUUAUACUGAAAUGGCACAAACCAUGCUUCUAACGUCGAAUUCUGCCACAGCUUCCUCCGUCGUAGAUUUGCAAGGUUAAACGAGAUUUGCUGAUGGCAUCUUCCGAGGAGUUAUGGCAUGCGUAUUUUUUGUGGUAUUCUUCAAGAUCGUUUUGGAUUUAAGCCAUAAGACGGUUGAUGAAUUUCAAAAAUACCAUUCGCAGGAUAUUGAUAUAAUAUCUAUAGAUAUUCUCUGUAUAUCAUUAUAGAGGUGCAUGUAUAUAUAUCGUAAACGUCAAGAAGCUGAACGAUCAUUGGUCUUUUAUAGUAUCAGCGAAGGAUUUCAUCGAAUUGAGGAGGCUCUUGCGAAACUGUAGAAUCGCCAAUAUCCGGUAGGCAGGUAGACAAAAUGCGAGCCCAUAAAAAUGUUAAUAACCAGUUCGAAUGUAGCGUCUCGGAUUUAUAUGCAUCCGAUAUGUAUGGAGGCACGCGUGGCCUGUCCUGUAUCGCUUUGUGAAAUCCCAUAUCUGCCAUUUGUCAUAUAUCUAAACGGCGAAGCAUGAAAUGCCUCUAUGAAUUUUUAUUGCUUCAUAUUUCGUCGCGUCGACCGUCCGCGCUCAGGUCACCGGGACGAGACAACAAAGCCUGGAGAACGUAGCAUUGUUACUACGUAGUUGGUUGGAUAGUGGAGGCUGUCUAUAUUCCGGAAUAAUGCCCUCUCGCGAGAACCAAUUAAACUGCAAUAUCGACGGCUUUGCGGAAGGACUUUAGAAACCUUACGUAACUAUCCUCAGCUAGGUAGGUAUACAUACCUUCAAUACCGUAACUUCACUUUUGGCAGGCUCCACUCGAGCCGGAAGCUUAAUUAAAGUCGGUUAGAACGGCUUCGUAUUUUUACUUGAAUACAGAGUUACAGGUUAGAAUUUUAUCGACCACAAGUGCCCUUUCGAUUCUCAUUCUUGUAAACCUGCCUCUCAUCCAGUCGAUUCGCGGCACGAUCGCCUGCCUUUCACGAAAACAACCGAAAGGUUUCGCGAAUUCUAUUGAAACGUGCAGACCCACGCUAUAACGUUUUACGAGGCUCGAACUUUCAGAAAAACCUGUCAGUACGCGCGGAGUGCAUUUGAAUCGCGCGCCCUCUAUUCCGAGCGUACCGAAGUUAUGCACAUGGCCGCCUGCUUUUUCUCGAUCUCGAAGCGUUCGAGAUAUCGUGUGCGCGGAGCAAACGUUGUCACGGGUUCUUCGAGAGGACAGACGAAGUGGAAGUGUGUGUAUGACGAGAAGACGAGAGGAGAGAGAGGAAAUGUCGGAUGCAGAACAUCGCUGGCUAACGAGUCAACAAACAGAACUCCCGGUUAUACCUUAGACCCCCGAGUCUGGCCGACAUUUGCUGGAAACCUCCGAGUGGCAUGUUUACCAUUCAAAUCCUCGACUGCGAUGCCUCCCAGCGCAGGGAAAAUCCUAAUCCCGGCUAGGAGUAACCUUAAGGCUCAGCGAUGUCUAUCAUUGGAAACAUUUGAUCCGGAGCUCAUUGUGUGUCUACGACGUGUACUCAGCACCUGGACUGUAAUGCCGACUAGCUUGAAUAACUCCGGGAAACUUGAUAGGCAGACACAUUGGCGUAGAGAUAACGUAUGUAUACGUUGCCGUCUCACGCAACACCAUGGGAAGAAUUCCAGUGCUAAGGAAAGGAUGUCCGUUCCGCAACGCACCAAGAAAGACAGACAAAUUGCUGCAUAAGAUAAGACAUAGCCACCCUCGAGGAGGUCCCGAGAAUUGCCAGGCAUUAAGUGGAUGGGUUUUGUGUUGGAGAAUUUUUGUAAUGUGGCAACAUGGUAAAUCGCAAGCCGUUAAAUACCGAUUCCUUUGCCUGGAGGGCAGCACCGUCGAGGGACGACGCGUCUCGUCUUACCGUAGCCAGGAUUCACAAUUUUCCCUGGUGAUUUCGCCUUCGUUCUUCCACGUCCAUUUUCCUCUCUACCUCCCUCCUUUCUUUUUCUCCCCCCCCCUCCUCCUUCCCUUACCUCAAGGGCGAGAAAGCAUCGCUUAAACGAUCGGCUGCAGAAUUCAUAAAGGGACAAUAUGCGGCACUGUAGGGGUGGCUCUGAACCCGUGAAUGAAUUCGGUGCGAAAGACUCUCUUUUGUAUCCCAGAAGCAGCAUCCUCAUAAGGCAAUAUCAAAUCACUAUGGAGAAUGCCAAGGAUUUUUUUUAUUAUCUUCUUUCAAACUGGACGUUUCGGUUCUUUCGCUUCGCGAAGCAUCGGUCCCGCAGCCACUGAUCCGUUAAAUCCAGGAGAACGAUAAAGGCCGAUUUACACGGAGAAACCGAUUGCCCCGGCUUCACCAAAUCGCCUUGUCCCAUUAAUCGUCGAGUCGUUCGUCAAUUGGAGCGGCAUCGUCGAUUAGAUUCUCCAAAGGCUCGUUUUCGUAUCUACGUUCGAGGAUUCAAAGAUUCGAAGCACCAGCAGCAGUGAUAUCAAGAGAGGCGAGCAUAAGAGAAGGAUCAGAUUAGGCGUAUUUUGUAAAGUCCGUAAAGUCAGGCCUCAGGUGUUAAGAUGGCCUCCGAUUGAUACGGCAAGAUAUCUCGUUCAAUAUUAGAGCACUCUGUCUGAAAUAGUUUGACGGUAAAUCUUCGAGAAACGUGGAUAUGUCAAUAAAAAUCGGCGAGUUCGGAAAGUUGGACUGGAUAUAUUUUAUUAGGUCGUAAAUAAUGAACAAUGGCCGCCGUACACGGAAGUCCAAAAGGAUUCACUCUGAAUCAUUCGGAUUUUCCUAUUCCUACAAUAUCCAGCCAAAUUCUCCACAAGAAAUUCCAACCAAGUACAAAUUAAUAGCUGAUUUGGUAUCAGUUUAACUACCGGAAGAGAACGGCAGCCAUAUUGAAUACCAUCGAUAUAAACACAGAUCGAAAGCAAACUUCUGCCGUUUCUUCAGUGUUCUACCAAUUCCUUAAAAGCUCAAGUAACGUCCAUCUAAAUUUGUCAAGAACUUCUCACCCGGAUGCAACGUUUUAUUUGGGAAAGAAAAAAAAGUAUGUCCACUUGACUCUACGUCUAUACCAUGGUGUACAUACAAGGAAGAGUAAGGAGGAAACAAGUUUACGCGGACCCAAGAAUCGUUUUACUGUUCAACAGGAAAAGAUGUCGUUCUACCGUGAUGGAUUGUGGGAACUGCGAUCUGUGCGUAACUCGUAACGACGUUUAAUCAUAUUUUCAUUAUACUUUUAUUCGCUAGAUUUACUCCUCUCUUCUCUACCAACGUUUGUGCUUUUACUUUCCUUCGUGAAACCACAUUUCGGAUCUCUCAAAAACCUCUUCGAGUCUCAUGUGAUUUAUGCGGUAAGAACCGUGAGAAUAUUCGAUCUCGUGCCACUCGACAUCUUUGUUAUUUCUGUACUCUAUCGGCUUUAAUAAUUUCUGGGUCUUCGCUUGAACGAAUACGUACCCUUGAGUGAUUCCUACAUAUUUUUAUGCAGAAUAUGAAAAUAUUUAUAUACCCAACAUCAAAGAAAUUGUGGUGUAAUUGAAAAAAUGUUAUGCAAUGUAAAAUAUAUGAAUGUUAUAUUUCUUUUUACAUCACGCUCCUGAAUAUACAGAUAAAUUGGGUCACGGUGUAACGUAUCUUGAAACUGGUUUCUCAUUACGUGAUAAUCAGGGAUUUAAUUUAUUAAUUAUAAAUCAACUUCUGACUCUUAAAAAUUAGAACCAUUAAUUUCCUGGGAAAUGAUUCAAGCUUUUUCUUUUGCGAACAUACACGAAUACAUUGCACUGACGUUAAACAUCUUCA